UACGUAGGUGGCAAGCGUUAUCCGGAUUUAUUGGGCGUAAAGGGAACGCAGGCGGUCUUUUAAGUCUGAUGUAAAAAGCAGUGGCUCAACCAUUGUAUGCAUUGGAAACUGGUAGACUUGAGUGCAGGAGAGGAGAGUGGAAUUCCAUGUGUAGCGGUGAAAUGCGUAGAUAUAUGGAGGAACACCGGUGGCGAAAGCGGCUCUCUGGCCUGUAACUGACACUGAGGCUCGAAAGCGUGGGGAGCAAACAGG
rnacentral:rRNA from 1 species